rnacentral:rRNA from 1 species
GUAGGGUGCGAGCGUUGUCCGGAAUUAUUGGGCGUAAAGGGCUCGUAGGCGGUUUGUCGCGUCGGAAGUGAAAACACGGGGCUUAACUCUGUGCUGGCUUUCGAUACGGGCAGACUAGAGGGAUGCAGGGGAGAACGGAAUUCCUGGUGUAGCGGUGAAAUGCGCAGAUAUCAGGAGGAACACCGGUGGCGAAGGCGGUUCUCUGGGCAUUCCCUGACGCUGAGGAGCGAAAGUGUGGGGAGCGAACAGGAUUAGAUACCCUGGUAGUCCACACCGUAAACGUUGGGCGCUAGGUGUGGGAUCCAUUCCACGGGUUCCGUGCCGCAGCUAACGCAUUAAGCGCCCCGCCUGGGGAGUACGGCCGCAAGGCUAAA